CACGGGGGGAGCAAGCGUUGUUCGGAAUCACUGGGCGUAAAGGGUGUGUAGGCGGUCCGGUAAGUCGGUUGUGAAAACCCGGGGCUUAACCCCGGGCCUGCAUUCGAUACGGGCAGACUCGAGUGUGGUAGGGGAGACUGGAACUCCUGGUGUAGCGGUGAAAUGCGCAGAUAUCAGGAAGAACACCGGUGGCGAAGGCGGGUCUCUGGGCCACUACUGACGCUGAGGAGCGAAAGCGUGGGGAGCGAACAGG
rnacentral:rRNA from 1 species